rnacentral:lncRNA from 1 species
AAUAGCUUAAACGUGUUUUACUCACUUGCUCACCAAAUUUGAGAGAUUAGUAAAUGUGGGUUUGUGUAGAAUUUAUUUAUUUUUUCCAUUUUCUACUGCCCCACCUUUUUGCUAAGUGAAAAAUUCUUGUAAUUUGUGCUGUCUAUCUUUAAUAAUAUCCUCUCUCUUUUUCUAAAGUGAAUGCACUACUAUUUCCAUGUCAUUGUCAGGG